rnacentral:rRNA from 1 species
GAUGAACGCUAGCGGCAGGCCUAACACAUGCAAGUCGAGGGAGGAGCUUUCGGGCUUCGACCGGCGUACGGGUGCGUAACGCGUAUACAAUCUGCCUUUCACAUAGGGAUAGCCCGAAGAAAUUUGGAUUAAUACCUAAUGGUAUUUAGGAGUGGCAUCACAUUUAUAUUAAAGCUGAGGCGGUGAAAGAUGAGUAUGCGUUCUAUUAGCUAGUUGGAGAGGUAACGGCUCCCCAAGGCGACGAUAGAUAGGGGUUCUGAGAGGGAUAUCCCCCACACUGGUACUGAGAUACGGACCAGAAUCCUACGGGAGGCAGCAGUGAGGAAUAUUGGACAAUGGUCGGAAGACUGAUCCAGCCAUGCCGCGUGCAGGAAGACGGCCUUAUGGGUUGUAAACUGCUUUUGCAGGGGAAGAAUAAGGACUACGAGUAGUUUGAUGACGGUACUCUGCGAAUAAGCAUCGGCUAACUCCGUG